rnacentral:tRNA from 1 species
GCCUGGGUAGCUCAGUCGGUUAAGUGUCUGACUUCAGCUCAGGUCAUGACCUCACAGUUCAUGGGUUCAAGCCCCGUGUUGGGCU